AACGAACGCUGGCGGCAUGCCUAACACAUGCAAGUCGAACGAGACCUUCGGGUCUAGUGGCGCACGGGUGCGUAACGCGUGGGAACCUGCCCUUAGGUUCGGAAUAACUUCCCGAAAGGGGUGCUAAUACCGGAUAAUGUCUUCGGUCCAAAGAUUUAUCGCCUUUGGAUGGGCCCGCGUUGGAUUAGCUAGUUGGUAGGGUAAAAGCCUACCAAGGCGACGAUCCAUAGCUGGGCUGAGAGGAUGAUCAGCCACACUGGGACUGAGACACGGCCCAGACUCCUACGGGAGGCAGCAGUGGGGAAUAUUGGACAAUGGGCGAAAGCCUGAUCCAGCAAUGCCGCGUGAGUGAUGAAGGCCUUAGGGUUGUAAAGCUCUUUUACCCGGGAUGAUAAUGACAGUACCGGGAGAAUAAGCUCCGGCUAACUCCGUG
rnacentral:rRNA from 1 species